GGAGGAAAAGAAACCAACAGGGAUUGCCUCAGUAACGGCGAGUGAAGCGGCAAAAGCUCAAAUUUGAAAUCCCCCGGGAAUUGUAAUUUGAAGAGAUUUGGGUCCGGCCGGCAGGGGUUAAGUCCACUGGAAAGUGGCGCCACAGAGGGUGACAGCCCCGUGAACCCCUUUAACGCCUUUAUCCCAGAUCUCCAAGAGUCGAGUUGUUUGGGAAUGCAGCUCUAAGUGGGUGGUAAAUUCCAUCUAAAGCUAAAUACCGGCGAGAGACCGAUAGCGAACAAGUACAGUGAUGGAAAGAUGAAAAGCACUUUGAAAAGAGAGUGAAAAAGUACGUGAAAUUGUUGAAAGGGAAGGGCUUGCAAGCAGACACUUAACUGGGCCAGCAUCGGGGCGGCGGGAAACAAAACCACCGGGGAAUGUACCUCUCGAGGAUUAUAACCCCGGUCUC
rnacentral:rRNA from 1 species